UGUCCCCUGCCUAGGUGUCAGGAGGGCCACCCCUCCCAAAGGAGCGCUUGUGAGCAGAGGUGAUCAGAGGACUUUCUGAAGAGUGAGGAGUGAUUUCAGAGGGCCAAAAAGAAGAAAAGGGAGUGAGCCAGUCAUUAAGGCCCCUAUAUCUCAGCUUAUUUUGACUGCUUCUCAACACAGCAUUACAAGUGGUUGAUUUGAUGGAUGUGGCACGUGACCAAGUUCUGACUAAUGAGAUGUCUGAAACUUAAAGUGGAAGAGAUGUAUCGUCUCCUUUUCCUUGCUCCAACCUGCUACCUGAAAAAUGGAUGUGGUGACAAGCUCUGGAAAACCACAAGGA